rnacentral:rRNA from 1 species
UGGCGGACGGGUGAGUAAUGUCUGGGAAACUGCCCGAUGGAGGGGGAGUAACUACUGGAAACGGUAGCUAAUACCGCAUAACGUCGCAAGACCAAAGAGGGGGACCUUCGGGCCUCUUGCCAUCGGAUGUGCCCAGAUGGGAUUAGCCAGUAGGUGGGGUAAAGGCUCACCUAGGCGACGAUCCCUAGCUGGUCUGAGAGGAUGACCAGCCACACUGGAACUGAGACACGGUCCAGACUCCUACGGGAGGCAGCAUG